CUAUCACCCUAUGUAUAAUCAUUUGACAGUCCAUAAGGAAUUGCUUCCAAGUUUCUUAUGACUUUAUGAUGAUUAUGACAUAGAAAUAAAUGUUUCUUAUUCCUUAUAAGUAAACCUUAAAAAGGUGGGAUGUGUUUUUAACUAGAGAAAAAAGCCACUACGUGAUGGAGGUAAUCUGCAAAACUUUUGCCGUUCCCAUUGAUAUUUGUGUUUAGAUUUUUCACAUUGAUAUAUUAUUUUAUUCUGAUCUUUCACAUAGACAAGUACUGGUAUAAUUUUGAUUCAAAUGAUUGGAGUAGAGUGUAUAAAUACGGAGUUGGCAAGGACUUCAGAUUUAAAACUGGUUAUGAUCCAGAUGUGCAACUAGGGUGGACAUCUCUUUGGAUUGAAGAGGAAGAUGGCAAAGCUAAGAUAGCUCCCAUGAAGAUGAAAGUUCAGUUCACGCUCCAGGUGCCCCAAUAUGAUAUCAAAUCCUCUGCCUUGAUGUUCAGUGUGAAAAAGAUAUGGGACAUAUGACUUUAAAGGUUGCACAGUGAUGAUCUCUUCUUUUUUCACUGCAAUGAUGAACGUGGUGUAUUCGAAAAAAAAAAAAAA